UGAUGCCAGGGUCAAAAGGUCUGAGCUCACAUGAGCUUGCUCAUAAGUGGGCGUAAGACCUUGGGACCCGCCCCGAUAUGAGCAUAAAAGUGGGAUGUAUAUCCCACGAUAUGCGAAUAGCGGGUAGGAUUGUGGAAGUGCGAAGCACGUAACAAUCCGUAGGCAUCA
rfam:Marvinbryantia formatexigens DSM 14469 B_formatexigens-1.0.1_Cont6.1, whole genome shotgun sequence.